GACGAACGCUGGCGGCGUGCUUAACACAUGCAAGUCGAACGGAAAGGCCCUGCUUUUGUGGGGUGCUCGAGUGGCGAACGGGUGAGUAACACGUGAGUAACCUGCCCUUGACUUUGGGAUAACUUCAGGAAACUGGGGCUAAUACCGGAUAGGAGCUCCUGCCGCAUGGUGGGGGUUGGAAAGUUUCGGCGGUUGGGGAUGGACUCGCGGCUUAUCAGCUUGUUGGUGGGGUAGUGGCUUACCAAGGCUUUGACGGGUAGCCGGCCUGAGAGGGUGACCGGCCACAUUGGGACUGAGAUACGGCCCAGACUCCUACGGGAGGCAGCAGUGGGGAAUAUUGCACAAUGGGCGGAAGCCUGAUGCAGCAACGCCGCGUGCGGGAUGACGGCCUUCGGGUUGUAAACCGCUUUCGCCUGUGACGAAGCGUGAGUGAGGGUAAUGGGUAAAGAAGCACCGGCUAACUACGUG
rnacentral:rRNA from 1 species